UACGUAGGGUCCGAGCGUUGUCCGGAAUCACUGGGCGUAAAGGGUGCGUAGGCGGGUCUUUUAAGUCGAGGGGAUGAAAUCCUGGAGCUCAACUCCCAGAACUGCCUUUGAUACUGAAGAUCUUGAGUUUCGGGAGAGGUGAGUGGAACUGCGAGUGUAGAGGUGAAAUUCGUAGAUAUUCGCAAGAACACCCGUGGCGAAAGCGGCUCUCUGGAACGGUACUGACGCUGAGACGCGGAAAAGCGUGGGGAGCGAACGAGGA
rnacentral:rRNA from 1 species